rnacentral:misc_RNA from 1 species
UCUCUCCUAAAACGCUCCAUUACUCCCCCCCUCCUCAUGGCUCUCUCUAUAACCUCAAAACCUCGACAAUCAAACACCACCAGCAUUGGCGAGAUCCAAGAGAUCGAAGUUUUCCGCAGAUUCGACGUGCUAUCUGACUCCUCCGACCACCACUAUGUUAAUGCCAACACCACCACCAAACACACAGGCGUUGAUUGUUUCACCAAUCUCUCUAGUGCUGUCCACAAGAAGAUCAUGCAAGAGUGGAAAAUCCUCGAGAAACACCUUCCCGAUUCCAUCUUCGUUCGGGUUUACGAGAAUCGGAUAGAUUUAUUACGAGCAGUGAUCGUGGGCGCCGCCGGUACACCAUACCACGAUGGACUAUACUUCUUCGACGUUGCUUUUCCGUCCGAUUAUCCGUCCCGGCCGCCUCACGUUUAUUAUAGAUCAUACGGGUUGCGUAUCAACCCGAACCUCUAUGCGAACGGGCGGGUUUGUUUAAGCCUUGUAAACACGUGGCCUGGUAGGAAGAGCGAGAAAUGGAACCCCAAUGAGUCUACGGUGCUCCAGGUUUUGGUUUCGAUCCAAGCUCUUGUGCUGAAUGAGAGACCGUACUUUAACGAACCUGGUCAUGGCAUGUGGCCGGGUCGGAUCAUCUGGGAGAAGAGAUCGAAUUCCUACAAUGAGGAUGUUUUUGUGUUGUCUUGCAAGUCAAUGCUGUUUCUACAGCGCAGACCACCAAAGAAUUUUGAGGGUUUUGUUGCUUGGCAUUUUAGAGAGCGAGCGAACGUGAUAUUAUCGGCUUGUAAUGCUUACACAAGUGGUCGAGCUAGAGUUGGAUACUGCCCAACUGAUGGGUCAUCGUCGAGCUCCCCGAUUGUUGAAGUAUCGGAUAAAUUCAAGGGAUUAAUAGCACAGUUGUAUCCUGAGCUGGUUGCAGCUUUUACCAGGAGCGGGGCUUCACGAGAGACUUUGAUCGAGCAGCUGAAGGUGGAGCGGAAAUCGGCGUCGUAUAAAGGCCAGGUGGUAGUUAAAAAGAAGAUCAAAUCCAAUAGUGGGGUUGCGAGAAGGGUUUUGGGGAAAUUAAAGAAGGUUUUGGGAUUGAAGAAGAAAAGUGGAAAAAGCAGCAGCGUCAAAAAGAAGACGAUGCCUUCUUGAAAGAGGCGGAAGAAUGGAAGCAACGCCUGGGAGGGAGAGGGACCCAUUGGGAAUUUUAUUUGCUUAGUUAGGGCACUUUAUACAAGGAAUUCAACUGCACCUCCACUGUUGAACAUGUUCUCAAGGCCAACGGGUGCAAAUUUAGCUCGCUUAUUGUGCUUGAGCACUGGUGAAAUGGUGAAUAUUUCAAAGGAAGAAGGUUGGAGUGUGAUCUUAGUCUGAUCUUUGGCCUUGACCAUGUGAAGAUUAUCAGACCUGUGAAGGUAGACAGUGAAUUGUUCCGUGUUUCGGUACACAGCUGUGAAGUCUUUUUGCUCCCAUUCGAUAUCAUGUGGGGAUACCACACCAGACAUUGAUUUGUAGCUUUGUGGGUAGGCCUUGUA